rnacentral:rRNA from 1 species
GACGAACGCUGGCGGCGUGCUUAACACAUGCAAGUCGAACGGAAAGGCCUUUUCGGAGGUACUCGAGUGGCGAACGGGUGAGUAACACGUGGGUGAUCUGCCCUGCACUCUGGGAUAAGCCUGGGAAACUGGGUCUAAUACCGGAUAGGACCGCACUUUAGCGUGUGUGGUGGAAAGUUUUUUCGGUGUAGGAUGAGCCCGCGGCCUAUCAGCUUGUUGGUGGGGUAAUGGCCUACCAAGGCGGCGACGGGUAGCCGGACUGAGAGGUUGGUCGGCCACAUUGGGACUGAGAUACGGCCCAGACUCCUACGGGAGGCAGCAGGGGGGAAUAUUGCACAAUGGGCGCAAGCCUGAUGCAGCGACGCCGCGUGGGGGAUGACGGCCUUCGGGUUGUAAACUCCUUUCGCCAGGGACGAAGCGUUUUGUGACGGUACCUGGAGAAGAAGCACCGGCUAACUACGUG